CAGCAGCCGCGGUAAUACGUAGGGUGCAAGCGUUAAUCGGAAUUACUGGGCGUAAAGCGUGCGCAGGCGGUUCGCUAAGACAGAUGUGAAAUCCCCGGGCUUAACCUGGGAAUGGCGCUUGUGACUGCAAAGCUAGAGUGCGGCAGAGGGGGAUGGAAUUCCGCGUGUAGCAGUGAAAUGCGUAGAUAUGCGGAGGAACACCGAUGGCGAAGGCAAUCCCCUGGGCCUGCACUGACGCUCAUGCACGAAAGCGUGGGGAGCAAACAGGAUUAGAUACCCGCGUAGUCCCUGUCUCUUAUAC
rnacentral:rRNA from 1 species